UCAGAGGGGGCAAGCGUUUGUUCGGAAUUACUGGGCGUAAAGGGCGCGUAGGCGGCCAACUAAGUCGGACGUGAAAUCCCUCGGCUUAACCGGGGAACUGCGUCCGAUACUGGAUGGCUUGAGUUCGGGAGAGGGAUGCGGAAUUCCAGGUGUAGCGGUGAAAUGCGUAGAUAUCUGGAGGAACACCGGGUGGCGAAGGCGGCAUCCUGGACCGACACUGACGCUGAGGAGCGAAAGCCAGGGGAGCAAACGG
rnacentral:rRNA from 1 species